rnacentral:rRNA from 1 species
GACGAACGCUGGCGGCGUGCCUAAUACAUGCAAGUCGAGCGAAGUUUUUCUGGUGCUUGCACUAGAAAAACUUAGCGGCGAACGGGUGAGUAACACGUAAAGAACCUGCCUCAUAGACUGGGACAACUAUUGGAAACGAUAGCUAAUACCGGAUAACAGUAUUUCUCGCAUGAGAGAUAUUUAAAAGUUGGUUAUGCUAACACUAUGAGAUGGCUUUUCGGUGCAUUAGCUAGUUGGUGGGGUAAAGGCCCACCAAGGCGACGAUGCAUAGCCGACCUGAGAGGGUGAUCGGCCACACUGGGACUGAGACACGGCCCAGACUCCUACGGGAGGCAGCAGUAGGGAAUCUUCCGCAAUGGGCGAAAGCCUGACGGAGCAACGCCGCGUGAGUGAAGAAGGAUUUCGGUUCGUAAAGCUCUGUUGUUAGGGAAGAAUGGAUAUGUAGUAACUAUACAUGUAAGAGACGGUACCUAGCCAGAAAGCCACGGCUAACUACGUG